CAUCCUGUUGUCAUUGAACCGUUUAUGUGUGGAUUUACAUGUAUGUCUUGGAUCACUGUAGUGCUUGAAGCUCCAACAUGACCCAAUUAUAGCUUCUUGGCAGAGGCAGUCUGGUGAUGAAGACAUCACAAGGUUCUUGAGGCUUUUGGAGGAUAAAAACAGGUCUACAACAUCACCGGUCCUCUAUCAGACUUAACAGUGAGGAUUAGGUUAUUUUCUUUAUAACCAUCCUUCUUUGUACACCCAAACCCAGUGUUUGAUCCCAAAAGGCUCUAUUUUUUUUUUUUUUUAACCACAGAACCCAGUUCCAGUAGCAUCCAACAGACUCUACUUGUCUACAAUUGUGGUAAUGAAAGAAAAGCAAUUUUCUCUUGGCACUCGUUCCAAACAGUUUCUCGGCACGAAGGUGGCGUCUAAAUGACCGUUUAAGACUCAAAUGAAUAAAAAAAAUUAAUAAAUACAUGCUUCAGACUCGUUUUGAUCAUAAGAAUUUCUACGGGUGGCAAUAACAUGAUCUGG